rnacentral:rRNA from 1 species
AUUGAACGCUGGCGGCGGGCCUAACACAUGCAAGUCGAACGAGUGGCGGACGGGUGAGUAAUGUCUGGGAAACUUCCUGAUGGAGGGGGAUAACUACUUGAAACGGUCGCUAAUACCGCCUACUAUCAUAUGUGCCUAGAUGGGAUUAGCUUGUUGGUGGGGUAACGGCUCACCAGGGCGACGAUCCCUAGCUGGUCUGAGGGGAGGACCAGCCACACUGGAAUGGAGAAACGGUCAAGACUCCUACGGGAGGCAGCAGUGGGGAAUAUUGGAAAAUGGGCGCAAGCCUGAUGCGGACAUGCCGCGGGUAUGAAGAAGGCCUUCGGGUUGUAAGGUACGUUCAGCGGGGAGGCGGUACCCGAAUAAGAAGCAACGGCUAACUCCGUGCCAGCAGCCGCGGUAAUUC